rnacentral:rRNA from 1 species
UACGUAGGGUCCGAGCGUUGUCCGGAAUUAUUGGGCGUAAAGAGCUCGUAGGCGGUUUGUCGCGUCUGCGGUGAAAUCCCGAGGCUCAACCUCGGGCCUGCAGUGGAUACGGGCAGACUGGAGUGCGGUAGGGGAGAAUGGAAUUCCUGGUGUAGCGGUGGAAUGCGCAGAUAUCAGGAGGAACACCGAUGGCGAAGGCAGUUCUCUGGGCCGUAACUGACGCUGAGGAGCGAAAGCGUGGGGAGCGAACAGG